AUGGGUGUCAUGGGUGGCUUCGGAGGUACCAUGAGCGGUUUAGGUGCCAUGGGAGGCAUGGGUGCACCUCCGGCCGCCAUGGGAGGCAUGGGUGGCUUUGGAGCACCCUCCGACGCUAUGGCCGUCAUGGGAGGCAUGAGUUUUGCUUCUCUCAUGGGAGGCAUGGGUGCACCUCCGGCCGCCAUGGGCGGAAUGUCUUUCGAUGUGCCUCCUCACACACAUUCCCAUGAAGAUGCCGUUGAAGAUCUUGCCAACACCGUCGGAGCUUCACGUAAUCCGGUGCGUGAUGAGGAGAGGGAGGAAGAUUCAUCUUCGGAGGCGGAAGAAUCGUCUUCGGAAGAUGAGGACGAAGACGAGGAAGAGGAUUGGCGGCCGCGCUAA
rnacentral:rRNA from 1 species